GACGAACCGUGCGAACGUUGUUCGGAAUCACUGGGCUUAAAGGGAGCGUAGGCGGGCUAACAAGUCUGAGGUGAAAUGCCACGGCUCAACCGUGGAACUGCCUUAGAUACUGUCGGCCUCGAGGGAGAUAGGGGCAUGCGGAACUGUAGGUGGAGCGGUGAAAUGCGUUGAUAUCUACAGGAACUCCGGUGGCGAAAGCGGCGUGCUGGAUCUCUUCUGACGCUGAGGCUAGAAAGCUAGGGGAGCAAACGGG
rnacentral:rRNA from 1 species